UAGACAUUACAACUUUUUAAAAGAUUAAUAUCAAUAACACACAUCAACGCUUUAAAAAAAGUCAUGCCUACUCCCAGUAAGUUAGCAAAAGGCCAAGACUAAGACCUGAUCGUCACAUGACCUGAACCUACGGUCCACCAAUACUGUUCUCUCUGACACUUGUUUUCUGCACCUUCUCCAGCACAUCUAGUGCUCUGCCUGUGGGCCGGCAGACAGCACUCGGGAAGGGCUCCUGGUCUGUGGGGCCUGCUUUUCUGCCCCUUCUCAGGAGGAAACAGAAUCCAGAUCUGGCAGCUAAGUCAUUAGUGGAAACAGAUCUAGAAUCCAUUUUUGCUGAUUCUGGGUAUUACAUUAAACUUAAACCCAAUUGUAUUUUCAUCACCUACUAAGAGACACUAUUAAAAUAUAAAAACAGAAAGAAACAUAAGCUUUGGAAAAGGUAGACUUUUAAUAACUGCUUUUACCACCAAGUUAAGUCAUGCAGUUACAAAGUAGUUAGAAAUUUCUGAAAGGAUAUUGUUAAAAAAAGAAAAAG